CGCGUAGGUGGUUCGUUAAGUUGGAUGUGAAAGCCCCGGGCUCAACCUGGGAACUGCAUCCAAAACUGGCGAGCUAGAGUACGGUAGAGGGUGGUGGAAUUUCCUGUGUAGCGGUGAAAUGCGUAGAUAUAGGAAGGAACACCAGUGGCGAAGGCGACCACCUGGACUGAUACUGACACUGAGGUGCGAAAGCGUGGGGAGCAAACAG
rnacentral:rRNA from 1 species